AGUGUGUAAGCUACAUUCAACUGCGAUACAUUGACUUUCAAGUGAUUUUUGUUACGACAUUAUUCAUUGGUAAAUAUCCAAUAUUUAAAGUUUUUCCAUUGAACCCAAAUCGUGCUAAUAUGGGAGGACGUGUCGCUGGAAAAGUUGCAUAUUCAAAUGGCGGAUACACCGGUGGCAGCCGUUCAUAUUCCGGCAUCAAUGAGGGUAUCAUGUGGGCAACAAUAAUUAUGGCAAUCAUCAUCACUGUUCUCAUAUCGAUAGCGCUAUGCUAUUUAGCGCGCGAAAAAUAUAAAAAACGGCAAGAAUAUUACAUAAAUGCUUAGGCAACUGUGAAACAUACGCAAUUACACAUAUUGAUCCAUCCAAAAAUCUCUAUGUUGGAGUAUCUCCUGCCAUUAGAGAUGUAAAUGUUCAAGGUUCUUU